AUGGACCCAUCCCAAAAGCUUAACCCAACCUUGACCCCAGAGUCUUCUCGGAUGCCCACUGAAGAAAAUUCCCAGGAAGAUUCAGCAGCCUGUCAUCCCGUCUGCUCAGAAAUGUUGGUAAAGGAUCUUAGUAACUUGACUCAACCCCGGUACCAAAUUCCCCUCCCCUCUUCCAGACGGUUCACUCCAACAGCAGGACAGAUCUUACAGGAGAUCAGAGAUGGCUUGCCCUACAGGAGGAGAGGAGUAAGGACAUUGAUUGUGAUCUGUGCAGAAAGAAAGGAUGUUAAUACAGAUACCUCUUACUCAACAAUUUUUCUCAGCUUGAAAGAACUAACAGACACUGGACUUAAGGGAGUUCAGAAUGAGUCAAGAAAUGAGCCAUUCAAAUGUGACUGCAGUUAUUGCCUUUAUCACAGGUGGGAUUCUU
rnacentral:lncRNA from 1 species